AGAUUAAGUUAUUAAGGGCGCACGGUGGAUGCCUUGGCACUAGAAGCCGAUGAAGGACGUUACUAACGACGAUAUGCUUUGGGGAGCUGUAAGUAAGCUUUGAUCCAGAGAUUUCCGAAUGGGGAAACCCAGCAUGAGUUAUGUCAUGUUAUCGAUAUGUGAAUACAUAGCAUAUCAGAAGGCACACCCGGAGAACUGAAACAUCUUAGUACCCGGAGGAAGAGAAAGAAAAUUCGAUUCCCUUAGUAGCGGCGAGCGAAACGGGAAGAGCCCAAACCAACAAGCUUGCUUGUUGGGGUUGUAGGACACUCUAUACGGAGUUACAAAGGACGACAUUAGACGAAUCAUCUGGAAAGAUGAAUCAAAGAAGGUAAUAAUCCUGUAGUCGAAAAUGUUGUCUCUCUUGAGUGGAUCCUGAGUACGACGGAGCACGUGAAAUUCCGUCGGAAUCUGGGAGGACCAUCUCCUAAGGCUAAAUACUCUCUAGUGACCGAUAGUGAACCAGUACCGUGAGGGAAAGGUGAAAAGCACCCCGGAAGGGGAGUGAAAUAGAACCUGAAACCGUGUGCUUACAAGUAGUCAGAGCCCGUUAAUGGGUGAUGGCGUGCCUUUUGUAGAAUGAACCGGCGAGUUACGAUUUGAUGCAAGGUUAAGCAGUAAAUGUGGAGCCGUAGCGAAAGCGAGUCUGAAUAGGGCGUUUAGUAUUUGGUCGUAGACCCGAAACCAGGUGAUCUACCCUUGGUCAGGUUGAAGUUCAGGUAACACUGAAUGGAGGACCGAACCGACUUACGUUGAAAAGUGAGCGGAUGAACUGAGGGUAGCGGAGAAAUUCCAAUCGAACCUGGAGAUAGCUGGUUCUCUCCGAAAUAGCUUUAGGGCUAGCCUCAAGUGAUGAUUAUUGGAGGUAGAGCACUGUUUGGACGAGGGGCCCCUCUCGGGUUACCGAAUUCAGACAAACUCCGAAUGCCAAUUAAUUUAACUUGGGAGUCAGAACAUGGGUGAUAAGGUCCGUGUUCGAAAGGGAAACAGCCCAGACCACCAGCUAAGGUCCCAAAAUAUAUGUUAAGUGGAAAAGGAUGUGGCGUUGCCCAGACAACUAGGAUGUUGGCUUAGAAGCAGCCAUCAUUUAAAGAGUGCGUAAUAGCUCACUAGUCGAGUGACACUGCGCCGAAAAUGUACCGGGGCUAAACAUAUUACCGAAGCUGUGGAUUGUCCUUUGGACAAUGGUAGGAGAGCGUUCUAAGGGCGUUGAAGCAUGAUCGUAAGGACAUGUGGAGCGCUUAGAAGUGAGAAUGCCGGUGUGAGUAGCGAAAGACGGGUGAGAAUCCCGUCCACCGAUUGACUAAGGUUUCCAGAGGAAGGCUCGUCCGCUCUGGGUUAGUCGGGUCCUAAGCUGAGGCCGACAGGCGUAGGCGAUGGAUAACAGGUUGAUAUUCCUGUACCACCUAUAAUCGUUUUAAUCGAUGGGGGGACGCAGUAGGAUAGGCGAAGCGUGCGAUUGGAUUGCACGUCUAAGCAGUAAGGCUGAGUAUUAGGCAAAUCCGGUACUCGUUAAGGCUGAGCUGUGAUGGGGAGGAGACAUUGUGUCUUCGAGUCGUUGAUUUCACACUGCCGAGAAAAGCCUCUAGAUAGAAAAUAGGUGCCCGUACCGCAAACCGACACAGGUAGUCAAGAUGAGAAUUCUAAGGUGAGCGAGCGAACUCUCGUUAAGGAACUCGGCAAAAUGACCCCGUAACUUCGGGAGAAGGGGUGCUCUUUAGGGUUAACGCCCAGAAGAGCCGCAGUGAAUAGGCCCAAGCGACUGUUUAUCAAAAACACAGGUCUCUGCUAAACCGUAAGGUGAUGUAUAGGGGCUGACGCCUGCCCGGUGCUGGAAGGUUAAGAGGAGUGGUUAGCUUCUGCGAAGCUACGAAUCGAAGCCCCAGUAAACGGCGGCCGUAACUAUAACGGUCCUAAGGUAGCGAAAUUCCUUGUCGGGUAAGUUCCGACCCGCACGAAAGGCGUAACGAUUUGGGCACUGUCUCAACGAGAGACUCGGUGAAAUCAUAGUACCUGUGAAGAUGCAGGUUACCCGCGACAGGACGGAAAGACCCCGUGGAGCUUUACUGUAGCCUGAUAUUGAAAUUCGGCACAGCUUGUACAGGAUAGGUAGGAGCCUUUGAAACGUGAGCGCUAGCUUACGUGGAGGCGCUGGUGGGAUACUACCCUAGCUGUGUUGGCUUUCUAACCCGCACCACUUAUCGUGGUGGGAGACAGUGUCAGGCGGGCAGUUUGACUGGGGCGGUCGCCUCCUAAAAGGUAACGGAGGCGCUCAAAGGUUCCCUCAGAAUGGUUGGAAAUCAUUCAUAGAGUGUAAAGGCAUAAGGGAGCUUGACUGCGAGACCUACAAGUCGAGCAGGGUCGAAAGACGGACUUAGUGAUCCGGUGGUUCCGCAUGGAAGGGCCAUCGCUCAACGGAUAAAAGCUACCCCGGGGAUAACAGGCUUAUCUCCCCCAAGAGUUCACAUCGACGGGGAGGUUUGGCACCUCGAUGUCGGCUCAUCGCAUCCUGGGGCUGUAGUCGGUCCCAAGGGUUGGGCUGUUCGCCCAUUAAAGCGGUACGCGAGCUGGGUUCAGAACGUCGUGAGACAGUUCGGUCCCUAUCCGUCGUGGGCGUAGGAAAUUUGAGAGGAGCUGUCCUUAGUACGAGAGGACCGGGAUGGACAUACCUCUGGUGUACCAGUUGUCGUGCCAACGGCAUAGCUGGGUAGCUAUGUGUGGACGGGAUAAGUGCUGAAAGCAUCUAAGCAUGAAGCCCCCCUCAAGAUGAGAUUUCCCAACUUCGGUUAUAAGAUCCCUCAAAGAUGAUGAGGUUAAUAGGUUCGAGGUGGAAGCAUGGUGACAUGUGGAGCUGACGAAUACUAAUCGAUCGAAGACUUAAUCAAAUU
rnacentral:rRNA from 1 species